CAGUAGCCGCGGUAAUACGAAGGGUGCAAGCGCUAAUCGGAAUUACUGGGCGUAAAGCGUGCGUAGGCGGUGAGUUAAGUCUGCUGUGAAAUCCCCGGGCUCAACCUGGGAAUGGCAGUGGAUACUGGCUCGCUAGAGUGUGUCAGAGGAUGGUGGAAUUCCCGGUGUAGCGGUGAAAUGCGUAGAGAUCGGGAGGAACAUCAGUGGCGAAGGCGGCCAUCUGGGACAACACUGACGCUGAGGCACGAAAGCGUGGGGAGCAAACAGGAUUAGAUACCCGAGUAGUCUGUCUCUUAUACAC
rnacentral:rRNA from 1 species